rnacentral:rRNA from 1 species
UACGUAGGUGGCGAGCGUUGUCCGGAUUUAUUGGGCGUAAAGGGCUCGUAGGCGGUUCGUCGCGUCCGGUGUGAAAGUCCAUCGCUUAACGGUGGAUCCGCGCCGGGUACGGGCGGGCUUGAGUGCGGUAGGGGAGACUGGAAUUCCCGGUGUAACGGUGGAAUGUGUAGAUAUCGGGAAGAACACCAAUGGCGAAGGCAGGUCUCUGGGCCGUUACUGACGCUGAGGAGCGAAAGCGUGGGGAGCGAACAGG